AUCUCUUCUCGGCCUUUUGGCUAAGAUCAAGUGUAGCAAUGUAAAAUGAAGGAAGUGGAGGAACAAGGCUUGGUUGACUGCUGUUUAGGGAAGUUAUUUAUCCCUACUAACGUUUGGCUAUUGUAGAGAUUGAUUUUUCUUGAAUUCUUUUUAAUCUACUCUGUUAGAUAAUUCUUUGUCAAAUGAGUGUGAUCUGAA